rnacentral:SRP_RNA from 1 species
GCUGGGUGUGGUGGUGCAUGCCUGUAAUCCCAGCUACUCAGGAGGCUGAGGCAGGAGAAUUGCUUGAGCCCAGGAGGCAGAGGUUGCAGUGAGCCAAGAUUGCACCACUGCACUUCAGCCUGGGCAGCAGAGUGAGACUCUGUCUCAA